UACGAAGGGGGCUAGCGUUGCUCGGAAUCACUGGGCGUAAAGCGCACGUAGGCGGAUUGUUAAGUCAGGGGGUGAAAUCCUGGAGCUCAACUCCAGAACUGCCUUUGAUACUGGCGAUCUUGAGUCCGGAAGAGGUGAGUGGAAUUCCGGAGUGUAGAGGUGAAAAUUCGUAGAUAUUCGGAAGAACACCAGUGGCGAAGGCGGCUCACUGGACUGGUAUUGACGCUGAGGUGCGAAAGCGUGGGG
rnacentral:rRNA from 1 species